rnacentral:rRNA from 1 species
CUACGGGGGGCUGCAGCUAAGAAUCUUCCGCAAUGGGCGCAAGCCUGACGGAGCGAUGCCGCGUGAAUGAAGAAUGCAGAGAUGUUGUAAAAUUCUUUUAUGAGAGAGGAAUAAUAUUAUCAGGAAAUGGAUAAUAGAUGACGUUAACUCAUGAAUAAGCUCCGGCGAAUUACGUGCCAGCAGCCGCGGUAACACGUAAGGAGCGAGCGUUGUUCGGAAUUACUGGGCGUAAAGGGCGUGUAGGCGGUUACUUAAGUCUUCUUUGAAAGACCGGUGCUUAACACCGGGAACGGGGAGGAAACUGAGUGACUAGAAUCCGGUAGGGAAAUGUGGAAUUCCUAGUGUAGGGGUGAAAUCUGUUGAUAUUAGGAAGAACACCAAUGGCGAAGGCAACAUUUUGGGCCUGGAUUGACGCUGAGGCGCGAAAGCAUAGGUAGCAAACAGGAUUAGAUACCCCGGUAGUC